GCAGCAUAGCAGUUCAGCUCUACCUCGGUGCGGCUCAUCACCGGGCAUCUUGCGUGACGUUUGACUCUGCAAGCUGCCUAGUGAAGGGCAACAUUGGGGUGGAGCCUUACAACCAAUUGAAGA
rnacentral:precursor_RNA from 12 species